rnacentral:SRP_RNA from 1 species
GGAAAGCAGCGUUGAUGGUCGGGUCCUACGCGACUCGGAACCGUGAACCCGGUCAGGCCCGGAAGGGAGCAGCCGUAAGCGGCCCUUCGAGAGUGCCGUAGGGGUUCCCGGCCGGAGCCGGCUCC